UACGUAGGCAGCGAGCGUUGUUCGGAAUUACUGGGCGUAAAGAGUGUGUAGGCGGUGCUCUAAGUUCGGUGUGAAAUCUCCUGGCUCAACUGGGAGGGUGCGCCGGAAACUGGAGUGCUUGAGCGUGGGAGAGGAAAGCGGAAUUCCUGGUGUAGCGGUGAAAUGCGUAGAUAUCAGGAGGAACACCGGUGGCGAAGGCGGUUCUCUGGGCCUGUACUGACGCUGAGGAGCGAAAGCGUGGGGAGCGAACAGG
rnacentral:rRNA from 1 species